rnacentral:ncRNA from 1 species
UUUGACUGCCCAAUUUGCAGUUAUGGUAUUUUAGAUGGAUUCUUGAAGUGUUUUAGAUGGUUGGCAUAGAAGUGUUUUUGAAGAGUGCACUCUGCAUGAACAUCGAAAGAGAAUUGGGUUAAUAUUCUCGAACCGGGACAUGGUGGUGGACGACAAUGUUAGGAAAUCUGGAGAUGUCAUCAGGGGCCUGGGAAGAGUUAUAUUUUCUUUUUAAUGACUUUCCCACCCUGAAAUCGGUUCAACCAGAGAUAGGAUCCAAAAUAUGAAAGAGCACCACACGUCUUGCGGUGUUUGGUGCCCCCUCGGCGGCCAUUGAAAAUAUGGAGAACUGAGUACCAUCCAUGCUCGUUCGUACUCAUAUAUGCCUCCUUU